AAUAUAUCUUUAUUAUAGUACGUAGAUAAUUUGUUGGCUAUACAUCAGCUUUAGGGGUGUUCGGUUUUCUAAAACCAAACUUAAUCAAAAUAGAAAAAAUGGUUUUGAUUUGAUAGUAUAGAAUAUACGGAAUGCAUGUUAUUUUUAAGAAACCAAGGUGUAUGAAUAUGGUUUGAAGCACACGAUCGAAUGUAUGUCACUCCUAAACGCUACUACAUUCGGGAAUAUUACAGCACUGAUCAUAUAGGAUUUUCUCGCUUGAGAAAAGUGGGAUGAUACGUGUUAUUCAGCUGACAUUACUAGGAUCCAUUCUGUCUAACAUGCUGCUUGUACUUGGCUGCGCUUUCUUCUCCGGUGGUCUAGUGUUUUACCAGAAAGACCAAGUCUUUGACAAAUCAUGGGGAUAGUCUUCCCGGCUGUUCUUCACUACAUGCAAAGUACUGAGGUUCAUGCUGGAUCAUCAGAGAUGGCCCUGUCAAGGUUCACCAGUUGCAUUAUGCUUAUAAGCCUACGCCGCUUACCUCUUCUUCCAGUCUAAUUCUUAUAGCCCUCUUGAAGAGGUUUGUUGCUUUAAGACAAGACUGUCCAUUCUUAUAGCUCUACGUGCUGUGAAUUCUAGGAAACAGGAACACAUCGCAAGAUCCGAAGAUCUCCAAGUAGGAAGCUAUCAUAUGGCUCUCAAUCUUGACUUUAUUCUCAGUUUGCCUUGAGACAUGGUUGAACUUUAUUUGACCUCAACAGGAUCUGUCCUUGGGAGUGGCUAUUGGCUCCUCUCUCCAUAUUUCCAUUCGUGCUAUGUAACAUGAACACAUCGCAAGAGCAGUGUAUCAUCUUUGGCCAACAAGAGGCUUGUUUAUUAAUCUCUGUUGCUGGUUGUAUAUGGCUAGGUCCCGUUCUGCGUGGUGAUUGGAUGUAUGAUGUGUGAACAGAUGGACUUGAACUUCCAGCUUUUUGAGACAGCGAUGCUGUUCAUCACCGUUAUAGUAGUAGCUUUUUUUUCUUCUCCUGGUGGGGUAAAGAAGUCCACCUUAUAGGGAUGAUAAUGGUAAAUAGAAAACUAAUAAGUGAUGAUGAUCGAUCUGUAUGUAACACACAGGAAGGGACAUCGAAUUCUCUUUGUUAUUUGAUAGUAGCUGCCAGUUUCUCUGUACACGAAGAUCCUUAUGAAGAGAGAGUCUGGUGUGAAGCAAGGUGGGUCUUAACUAAAAGCUAAUGAUCUCAUGAACUUAUUAAGAAGAUGUAGAUCUGAUUCUAAUGUGGUUUGUUUCCAUAAACUUGAAUCAAGUUAAACGUUUUGGAAGUUAUGUUGGAGCAAAUAAGGUUUAUUCCUUUUGGCUUUUCUUCCCACAGAUUUUUUUUUAAUAUUCUAAGUGGCUUUUUAGAAGGUUACAAGUUUUGUUACUUUACAAUGUUCUUAUGAAAAGAUUGGAAAUUGAUUCU